rnacentral:misc_RNA from 1 species
GAUGAAGAACGUAGCGAAAUGCGAUAAGUAAUGCGAAUUGCAGAAUUUCCGUGAGUCAUCGAAUCUUUGAACGCACAUUGCGCCCAUUAGUAUUCUAGUGGGCAUGCCUGUUCGAGCGUCAUUAAGUCCACUUAAGCCCCUUGCUUAGUAUUGGGAAUCUACGUCAGAAGCUACCCUGUAGCUACCCUGUAGUUCCUUAAAGACAGCGGCGGAGUCGUGGUUUUCUCCGAGCUUAGUAAUUUUUUUCUAGCUUUCGAGUUGCCACUGCCCCUGCCGUAAAACACCCUUUAUUUUUUAAUGGUUGACCUCGGAUCAGGUAGGAAUACCCGCUGAACUUAAGCAUAUCAAUAAGCGGAGGA